rnacentral:rRNA from 1 species
CGCAUCUGUGCAUGCAGCAUAUCAAUAAGCGGAGGAAAAGAAACUAACAAGGAUUCCCCUAGUAACGGCGAGUGAAGCGGGAAGAGCUCAAAUUUGAAAUCUUAAAGGGUUUCCCUUUACGAAUUGUAGUUUAAAGAAGUGUUUUCUGUUGAGGUUUUGGUAAAAGUUCUUUGGAAUAGGACAUCAUAGAGGGUGAGAAUCCCGUAUUUGACCUUUACUUUCAACUUUGUGAUACACUUUCAAAGAGUCGGAUUGUUUGGGAGUGCAGUCCAAAAUGGGUGGUAAAUUUCAUCUAAAGCUAAAUAUUGGCGAGAGACCGAUAGCGAACAAGUACCGUGAGGGAAAGAUGAAAAGAACUUUGAAAAGAGAGUUAAACAGUACGUGAAAUUGUCAAAAGGGAAGCGUUUGACACCAGUGUUGUUUUUCUGAAAAUCAAUUAAAGAACUGUUUAUGCUAAGUUGUUUAGACUUUAUCAGCUAUCUGUUUAGUUUUAGGCUUUUCCUUUAAUGCACUUUUCAGUUAACAAGUCAACAUCAAUUUCUUUUGCUGUAAAAAGGCUUGAGGAAGGUGGCUUGAGAUUCGUCUUAAGUGUUUAUAGCCUCUUGCCUAUGCAGUCGGAGAGAUUGAGGUCUGCAGCGUAGAUCCUUCGGGGCUAAAUGCAUUUGUGCUAAGUUAUAGCAUUUUAUAGACAACUUGUUGACUAUGAUUUGUCUUGUAGCUUACUCGCUUAUGUUAUUUUACCUACGCUUAGGAUGUUGAGCGCAUGUCUCUCUCU